rnacentral:rRNA from 1 species
CCCUUAGAUGUUCUGGGCCGCACGCGCGCUACACUGACGAUGGCAACGAGUUUUUCCUUCGCCGAAAGGUGUGGGUAAUCUUUUGAAACAUCGUCGUGCUGGGGAUAGAUCAUUGCAAUUUUUGAUCUUGAACGAGGAAUUCCUAGUAAGCGCGAGUCAUCAGCUUGCGUUGAUUACGUCCCUGCCCUUUGUACACACCGCCCGUCGCUACUACCGAUUGAAUGGUUUAGUGAGGACUCCUGAUUGGCGCCGCCGCCCCGGCAACGGAGCAGCGGACUGCCGAAAAGUUGUUCAAACUUGAUCAUUUAGAGGAAGUAAAAGUCGUAACA